GGCAGUGACAGCGGUAAGAGCGUAAGUGACAGCGGUAACAGCGGCAGUGAUAGUGGUAACAGCGGCAGUGACAGCGGUAACAGCG